CGGGGUGGCUUUUCAAACCGUGGAGGUGAUGGAUAUCGUAGGACUGAUAAGAUGGGGAACAAUGGUGGCCGUGCUAACCGUGAUGGUGGGUUGGCUUUUAAUGCUGCAGCCAAGACAACAGCACCAAGGGUAUCUGCUACUGCUUGAAGAUCUGUAACGUGGAGGGAGGUAGUUGUAACAUGGAAGGAGAUAGUUGGAACAUGUUCUUUAAAGAAGUUUUUGUGUUCCUUGGUGCAGUAAUUUACUAGAGGGUUUGGCUAUAAAGGAGAUGAUACACUUCUAAGAUGAGCUUCAUGAGAUUUUUGUCAAGGAUUUCCUUCUUGAAAUUUUGUCCAGUUCUCCUUGAUAGAGAGUCAUUUUUGGUUUGGUGGAUAGUGGUAAAGUUUUGUCUGGUUUACUAAUUUCAUCUCUGAUUCCCCAUUAUACUAAUUUCACUCGAGCAUCGAUCGUGACUAUACAUCACUGUCCACCUGAUUCCUGAUUUCUUUGCUUUUCUCAUUCUUCUUGAAAAUGAGACGAUGCUGCUGGAUUGAGAUUUUAAAAAUCCUCAGUUUUUGUUAGGUCGUCUUCAAAUUCACAUGUACCAUACAUUUCUCUUUUUCAUUCAUUUGCUUCUAAUUUCUGCUUGCCCUAUUUUUUUAAAUUCCAACAUUUGCUGUCCCUGCUGGAGAGGAUCAAAACCCUACAAAAAUUCAAUUGGAGAUUUGAGUAUUCAGGGUAUUUUGAAGAUUUUGUAUCUACAAUCUAUCAAUCAAUUCUUUGUACAUUAACUCAAUAUGAUGAUUUGAAUCUUGAAUUAACGUACUUGGAAUUGAAUUCAAAUUUUGAUUCUACUAAACCUAAAGUGAACGAGUUAGGCGAUGGAGAUGAUAUUAUAGUUUCUGGCGUUGGAGUAUCACAAUUUAUAAACUUUGACGACAACAGUUUGAGAAGUGAGGUUGAGGAAAAGCAUAGUUAGAAGUGGUGGAGAAUGAGGGUUAGUUGGAAUUUGGUGAAUAAAAAAAAUACCAGUAUUGGUUGGUCUUUCUUUUGCUUCUGCGGGUGAUGGGGACGAAGGAAUUAGAGAAGCUUCUCAAAUAAUGGCUUUUAUAUUUGGUUUCUCCAUUUUGCAGGUUAUUGAGUUUUCUUUUUCUUUUUUUUUAUGAGAGAAAAUUUUCUCAGGUUUUCUCGGAAGAGAAAGGCAGAGGGAUAUGUGAACAAGAAGUGAUGUGGUGGCUUUAAUGAUUAAAGAGGUAUUUGGUUUAAUUGUUG
rnacentral:misc_RNA from 1 species